AUGGGCCCGCGGCGCAUUAGCUAGUUGGUGGGGUAAAGGCUUACCAAGGCAAUGAUGCGUAGCCGAACUGAGAGGUUGAUCGGCCACAUUGGGACUGAGACACGGCCCAAACUCCUACGGGAGGCAGCAGUAGGGAAUCUUCCACAAUGGGCGAAAGCCUGAUGGAGCAACGCCGCGUGGGUGAAGAAGGUCUUCGGAUCGUAAAACCCUGUUGUUAGAGAAGAAAGUGCGUGAGAGUAACUGUUCACGUUUCGACGGUAUCUAACCAGAAAGCCACGGCUAACUACGUGCCAGCAGCCGCGGUAAUACGUAGGUGGCAAGCGUUAUCCGGAUUUAUUGGGCGUAAAGGGAACGCAGGCGGUCUUUUAAGUCUGAUGUGAAAGCCUUCGGCUUAACCGGAGUAGUGCAUUGGAAACUGGGAGACUUGAGUGCAGAAGAGGAGAGUGGAACUCCAUGUGUAGCGGUGAAAUGCGUAGAUAUAUGGAAGAACACCAGUGGCGAAAGCGGCUCUCUGGUCUGUAACUGACGCUGAGGUUCGAAAGCGUGGGUAGCAAACAGGAUUAGAUACCCUGGUAGUCCACGCCGUAAACGAUGAAUGCUAAGUGUUGGAGGGUUUCCGCCCUUCA
rnacentral:rRNA from 1 species